rnacentral:rRNA from 1 species
GUGCUAAUCUGCGAUAAGCGCCGGUAAGGUGAUAUGAACCGUUAUAACCGGCGAUACCCGAAUGGGGAAACCCAGUGUGAUUCGUCACACUAUCAUUAACUGAAUCCAUAGGUUAAUGAGGCGAACCGGGGGAACUGAAACAUCUAAGUACCCCGAGGAAAAGAAAUCAACCGAGAUUCCCCCAGUAGCGGCGAGCGAACGGGGAGGAGCCCAGAGCCUGAAUCAGCAUGUGUGUUAGUGGAAGCGUCUGGAAAGGCGCGCGAUACAGGGUGACAGCCCCGUACACAAAAGCGCAUGUGCUGUGAGCUCGAUGAGUAGGGCGGGACACGUGGUAUCCUGUCUGAAUAUGGGGGGACCAUCCUCCAAGGCUAAAUACUCCUGACUGACCGAUAGUGAACCAGUACCGUGAGGGAAAGGCGAAAAGAACCCCGGCGAGGGGAGUGAAAAAGAACCUGAAACCGUGUACGUACAAGCAGUGGGAGCCCCACCACCAAAGCAUUCUCUGGUGUUGAAGGCCCUGCAAAGCAGCAUCGCGGUGGCGGAGCGUCGUUUGCGACGCCCAACACACAAAACAAGCGGUGAGUGCUUUG